rnacentral:snRNA from 1 species
GUGCUCGCUUUGGCAGCACAUAUACUAAAACUGGCACGAUACAGAGAAGAUUAGCAUGGCACCUGCACAAGGAUAACAUGUAAAUUCGUGAAGUGUUU